rnacentral:rRNA from 1 species
CGCACGGGUGAGUAACACGUGAGUGACCUGCCUUUUAGACUGGAACAACUUACCGAAAGGUGAGCUAAUGCCGGAUGAGUUAUAUAGGUGCAUGUUUAUAUAGGAAAAGUUGGGGAGACCUGACGCUGAAAGAUGGACUCGCGUCCCAUUAGCUAGUUGGUAGGGUAAUGGCCUACCAAGGCGACGAUGGGUAGCCGGCCUGAGAGGGUGGCCGGCCACACUGGGACUGAGACACGGCCCAGACUCCUACGGAAGGCAGCAG